CAGGAAUGAAAGACGGAAUCUGAUUGGUUGCUAUGGGCAACUCAGCAACUAUUCAACUAUUCCUCUGGACAGGUUUUGAGUGUUACAUGCUAUGGGGAAGCAACAGAAACGGUGUUCAGGGAUCACUAUAUUUCUCCAAGCAAUGGGCACCUGAGGGAAUGGAGAAUAUUGCUGAUGUGAGUCUUGGAUUGAGAAACUAAUGACUAAGAUCAAAACCAAUGUGAUCCAUCAUUCAACUGACUGUAGCAGAACCAGAAAUUGUCUACAUUUGCUCUUAAUUGUCUCAUUAGCCACAUAAACAAACAUUCUUACAAUACAGAGGAUGAAGGGGAGCUAAUCUUGACAUUUUGCACAUCUGAUCAUCAUACUACUCUGCUAUUCUUGAAGGAUGUUUUUGAAAGAGGAAAAGCAGGUUGUCUGUAGACAACAGUUAAAUUCAAAAGCUAUGCAGGAUUCCAAAGCCGGGUCUCCCUGAGAUAAGAAGACUCCAUUUGCUGGCUCCAGGAAGAAGUCCAGGAUCAAGACCCAUAAUCAGACUAUGUUGGACCCAGAAAUAAAGAAAGAAAAUGUUUGGGGCCUGGCCACGUAGUAUUUCAAUAAAGUUUUCUUAA